rnacentral:other from 1 species
AUUGCCCUGCUGUGUUUGUGAUGCGGCCUAAGUUUUGUACCAACACUAUCAAAAACAGGUUCGAUCUCAGACCAGGUAAUGUGUUAGAUUUCGGUCAAGACAAAAGCUUGGAGGAAGAACCAAUCCUGCCUUAUGCAGGUUCAAAACAAUUCAGCACACGGCAUGGCGGGGAGGUA